UGGUGCGGUUCUGGAGGAAGUCUUCUUCCAGGUAGCCCAUAAAAAGUUUGGCAUAUUGUGGAGCCAUUUUGGUUCUCAUAGCUGUACCCAUGGUCUGGAAGAAGUGUUGGUUAUUAAAAGUGAACUUAUGUGAGAGAAUGCAGUU